GAGCAUUCUCUAGGAGUUGAAGGUUGACCGACAAGGACAGCUGGAUUCUAGAGAAGAGAUUAUGCCGGCAUAAGUAGCGAUAAACGAUGUGAGAAUCAUCGUCCCCGAAAACCUAAGGUUUCCUGGUCAAUGUUCGUCAGAUCAGGGUUAGUCGGGUCCUAAGGCGAGGCCGAAAGGCGUAGUCGAUGGAAAACAGGUUAAUAUUCCUGUACCGCCAUGGUUGCGUUAUCAACUAAGGGGGGACGCAGAGAGGUAAGCACCGCCGGGUCCCUGGAAUACCCGGUCCAAGCGAGUAGGUGGGGUCUGUAGGCAAAUCCGCGGACCUAUUAACACUGAGACGUGAUGGGGAGGCCGUAAGGCCAUAAACGGGCUGAUCCUGCACUGCCGAGAAAAUCCUCGUAGUGAGUGUCUAUGGUGUCCGUACCGCAAACCGACACAGGUAGGUAGGUGGAAAACACUAAGGGGCGUGAGAGAACUCUCCCUAAGGAACUCUGCAAUUUAGCCCCGUAACUUCGGGAUAAGGGGUGCCUCGAUUAGGUAAGAAGAUUUACUUUUCAAGCCGAACGAGGUCGCAGUAAAAUGGCUCUAGCGACUGUUUACCAAAAACACAGGACUCUGCUAACUCGUAAGAGGAGGUAUAGGGUCUGAUGCCUGCCCGGUGCUGGAAGGUUAACUGGAGGUGUUAGCCGUAAGGCGAAGCUCCGAAUGGAAGCCCCAGUAAACGGCGGCCGUAACUAUAACGGUCCUAAGGUAGCGAAAUUCCUUGUCGGGUAAGUUCCGACCUGCAUGAAUGGCAUAACGACUGGAGCGCUGUCUCGGGGAGAGACUCAGCGAACUUGUUGUUCCGGUGAAGAAGCCGGGUGCCCGCAACUAGACGGAAAGACCCUGUGCACCUUCACUACAACUUGACAUUGGGUGUUGGGCGAGUAUGUGUAGGAUAGGUGGGAGGCUUUGAAGCGGGAGCGCUAGCUUUCGUGGAGCCAACCUUGAAAUACCACCCUUGCUUUUCUGACAUUCUAACUUGACCCUGUCAUCCAGGGUAAGGACAUUGUCUGGUGGGUAGUUUGACUGGGGCGGUCGCCUCCCAAAAGGUAACGGAGGCGCCCAAAGGUUCCCUCAGGCUGGUCGGCAAUCAGCCAUCGAGUGUAAAGGCAAAAGGGAGCUUGACUGCGAGAGCGACAGCUCAAGCAGGGACGAAAGUCGGGCUUAGUGAUCCGGUGGUUCUGCGUGGAAGGGCCAUCGCUCAACGGAUAAAAGGUACGCCGGGGAUAACAGGCUGAUUUCCCCCAAGAGUUCACAUCGACGGGGAAGUUUGGCACCUCGAUGUCGACUCAUCGCAUCCUGGGGCUGAAGCAGGUCCCAAGGGUCGGGCUGUUCGCCCGUUAAAGCGGUACGAGAGUUGGGUUCAGAACGUCGUGAGACAGUUCGGUCCCUAUCUGUUGUGGGCGGAGGUGAUUUGAGAGGGCCUGUCUCUAGUACGAGAGGACUGAGAUGGACGGACCGCUAGUGUGCCGGUUGUCGCGCCAGCGGCAGUGCCGGGUAGCUAUGUCCGGUUUAGAUAACCGCUGAAAGCAUCUAAGCGGGAAGCUAGCCUCAAGAUAAGAUCACACGGAGGGUAACCUCCCUAAAGGCCACUUAUAGACUAUGAGUUUGAUAGGCUGGGUGUGGAAGGGCUGUAAGGCCUGAAGCUAACCAGUACUAAUCGGCCGUGAGACUUAACAAC
rnacentral:rRNA from 1 species